AUUGAACGCUGGCGGCAUGCCUAACACAUGCAAGUCGAACGGUAACGCAGAGAGCUUGCUCUUUGGCGACGAGUGGCGGACGGGUGAGUAAUGCUUAGGAAUCUGCCCAGUAGUGGGGGACAACUCGGGGAAACUCGAGCUAAUACCGCAUACGCCCUACGGGGGAAAGCGGGGGAUCUUCGGACCUCGCGCUAUUGGAUGAGCCUAAGUCGGAUUAGCUUGUUGGUGAGGUAACGGCUCACCAAGGCGACGAUCCGUAGCUGGUCUGAGAGGACGAUCAGCCACACUGGGACUGAGACACGGCCCAGACUCCUACGGGAGGCAGCAGUGGGGAAUAUUGGACAAUGGGGGCAGCCCUGAUCCAGCAAUGCCGCGUGUGUGAAGAAGGCCUGCGGGUUGUAAAGCACUUUCAGUAGAGAAGAAAAGCUUACGGUUAAUACCCGUGAGUCUUGACGUAACCUACAGAAGAAGCACCGGCUAACUCCGUG
rnacentral:rRNA from 1 species